UACGUAGGGUGCAAGCGUUAAUCGGAAUUACUGGGCGUAAAGCGUGCGCAGGCGGUUGAUGCAAGACAGAUGUGAAAUCCCCGGGCUCAACCUGGGAACUGCAUUUGUGACUGCACAGCUGGAGUGCGGCAGAGGGGGAUGGAAUUCCGCGUGUAGCAGUGAAAUGCGUAGAUAUGCGGAGGAACACCGAUGGCGAAGGCAAUCCCCUGGGCCUGCACUGACGCUCAUGCACGAAAGCGUGGGGAGCAAACAGG
rnacentral:rRNA from 1 species